GGAGGGGUGCGAGCGUUAAUCGGAAUUACUGGGCGUAAAGCGCGCGUAGGCGGGCUUGGUCAGUCGGGAUGUGAAAGCCCCGGGGCCUAACCUGGGAAUUGCAUUCGAUACUGCCAGACUAGAGUAUGGGAGAGGGAAGCGGAAUUUCCGGUGUAGCGGUGAAAUGCGUAGAUAUCGGAAGGAACACCAGUGGCGAAGGCGGCUUCCUGGCCCAAUACUGACGCUGAGGUGCGAAAGCGUGGGGAGCGAACAGGAUUAGAUACCCUGGUAGUCCACGCCGUAAACGAUGAGAACUAGAUGUCGGGAGGAUUGCCUCUCGGUGUCGCAGCUAACGCGUUAAGUUCUCCGCCUGGGGAGUACGCCGGCAACGGUA
rnacentral:rRNA from 1 species